rnacentral:rRNA from 1 species
GACGAACGCUGGCGGCGUGCUUAACACAUGCAAGUCGAACGGAAAGGCCCUGCUUUUGUGGGGUGCUCGAGUGGCGAACGGGUGAGUAACACGUGAGUAACCUGCCCUUGACUUUGGGAUAACUUCAGGAAACUGGGGCUAAUACCGGAUAGGAGCUCCUGCUGCAUGGUGGGGGUUGGAAAGUUUCGGCGGUUGGGGAUGGACUCGCGGCUUAUCAGCUUGUUGGUGGGGUAGUGGCUUACCAAGGCUUUGACGGGUAGCCGGCCUGAGAGGGUGACCGGCCACAUUGGGACUGAGAUACGGCCCAGACUCCUACGGGAGGCAGCAGUGGGGAAUAUUGCACAAUGGGCGGAAGCCUGAUGCGGCAACGCCGCGUGCGGGAUGACGGCCUUCGGGUUGUAAACCGCUUUCGCCUGUGACGAAGCGUGAGUGACGGCAAUGGGUAAAGAAGCACCGGCUAACUACGUG